rnacentral:rRNA from 1 species
UACAGAGGUUGCAAGCGUUGUUCGGAAUUACUGGGCGUAAAGGGCGCGUAGGCGGUCUUGUCAGUCCCUUGUGAAAUCCCCCGGCUCAACUGGGGAACUGCACGGGAAACAGCAGGGCUUGAGUUCGGGAGAGGGAAGCGGAAUUCCGGGUGUAGCGGUGAAAUGCGUAGAUAUCCGGAGGAACACCGGUGGCGAAGGCGGCUUCCUGGACCGACACUGACGCUGAGGCGCGAAAGCUAGGGGAGCAAACGGG